rnacentral:rRNA from 1 species
GCUGAAAUUAGAGGUCUGACCUGCCCACUGAAGAUAAAUUUAAAGGGCCGCGGUAUUUUGACCGUGCAAAGGUAGCAUAAUCAUUAGUCUUUUAAUUGGAGGCUAGAAUGAAUGGUUGGACGAGGUAUUGACUGUCUCAGUAUAAAUGAGUUUAGAAUUUAACUUUUGAGUGAAAAGGCUCAAAUUUUUUUAGAGGACGAGAAGACCCCAUAGAGCUUUAUAAUAAGUUUUUUUUAAAUUGUUUAGUGGUAUUUUUUUUUAUAUUAAACUAAUUAUUUUGUUGGGGUGACAGGAAGAUAUAAUAAACUCUUUUUAUUAGGAAACAUUGAUUUAUGAAUUGUUGAUCCAUUUUUAGUGAUUAUAAGUCUAAGUUACCUUGGGGAUAACAGCGUAAUCUUUUUCGAGAGUUCUUAUCGACAAAAAGGGUUGCGACCUCGAUGUUGGAUUAAGGGUAAUUUUGGGUGUAGAUGUUCAAAGUUAGUCG